rnacentral:rRNA from 1 species
UCAAGCGUGAGGUAAGAGCAUUUGGUGGAUGCCUUGGCAUGUGCAGGCGAUGAAGGACGUGGCACGCUGCGAUAAGCGUCGGGGAGAUGUGAGCAAUCUUUGAUCCGGCGAUUUCCGAAUGGGGAAACCCACCCUCACCAUUUCCUUUCGUUCGACCUUCGGGUCGGCCGGAAAGAGGUGGAUAGGGUAUCACCAGACUGAAUACAUAGGUUUGGUGAAGCGAACCCGGGGAACUGAAACAUCUCAGUACCCGGAGGAAAAGACAUCAACAGAGAUUCCCGUAGUAGUGGCGAGCGAACCGGGACCAGGCCAGUGCUUCUUCGUUAGUUAACCGAACACUUUGGAAAGAGUGGCCAUAGCGGGUGACAGCCCCGUAGGUGAAAACAAUCGAAGAAGACUCGAGUAGGGCGGGACACGUGAAAUCCUGUCUGAACAUGGGGGGACCACCCUCCAAGCCUAAAUACUCGCACAUGACCGAUAGCGAACAAGUACCGUGAGGGAAAGGUGAAAAGCACCCCGAUUAGGGGAGUGAAACAGUACCUGAAACCGAAUGCUUACAAGCAGUUGGAGCCCCAUAGGGGGUGACAGCGUACCUCUUGCAUAAUGGGUCAGUGACUUAAUUUAUCGAGCAAGCUUAAGCCGUUAGGUGUAGGCGCAGCGAAAGCGAGUCUGAAUAGGGCGACUGAGUUCGAUGAAUUAGACCCGAACCCCGGCGAUCUAGGCAUGGCCAGGUUGAAGGUGCAGUAACAUGCACUGGAGGACCGAACCGGUGAAUGUUGAAAAAUUCUCGGAUGAGCUGUGUUUAGGGGUGAAAGGCCAAUCAAGCCGGGAAAUAGCUGGUUCUCCGCGAAAUCUAUUGAGGUAGAGCGUCGGAUGUAUGCCGAUGGGGGUAGAGCACUGGAUGGGCUAGGGCUGCGCGAGCGGUACCAAACCUAACCAAACUCCGAAUACCAUCGAGUCUUAUCCGGCAGACAGACGGCGGGUGCUAAGGUCCGUCGUCAAAAGGGAAACAGCCCUAACCUACAGCUAAGGUCCCCAAGUCAUAUCUAAGUGGGAAAGCAUGUGGGAAUCCCAAAACAACCAGGAGGUUGGCUUAGAAGCAGCCAUCCUUUAAAGAAAGCGUAACAGCUCACUGGUCUAAAUAAGGGCUCCUGCGGCGAAGAUGUAACGGGGCUAAAGAUAUGCACCGAAGCUUAGGGUUCAGAAUUUAUUCUGAGCGGUAGCGGAGCGUUCCGUAAGUGGUUGAAGCCGAAGGGUAACCGACGGUGGACAUAUCGGAAGUGCGAAUGCUGACAUGAGUAGCGACAAACAGGGUGAGAUGCCCUGUCGCCGAAAGACCAAGGGUUCCUGCUCAACGCUAAUCGGAGCAGGGUUAGCCGGCCCCUAAGACGAGCCCGAAGGGGGUAGUCGAUGGGAACCACGUAAAUAUUCGUGGGCCUGAAGAUGUGUGACGGAUCGUGGAAGUUGUUCGACCUUAUUGGAUUGGUCGGGCAGCCAAGCGGUUCCAGGAAAUAGCCUCUUCAAUAUAGACCGUACCCGAAACCGACACAGGUGGUCAGGUAGAGUAUACCAAGGCGCUUGAGAGAAGUAUCCUGAAGGAACUCGGCAAAUUGCCUCCGUACCUUCGGAAGAAGGAGGCCCUCUCAUUACGCAAGUAGUGUGGAGGGGGCACAGGCCAGGGGGUAGCGACUGUUUAGCAAAAACACAGCACUCUGCUAAGUCGGCUUCAAGACGACGUAUAGGGUGUGACGCCUGCCCGGUGCUCGAAGGUUAAGAGGAGGAGUGCAAGCUCCGAAUUGAAGCCCGAGUAAACGGCGGCCGUAACUAUAACGGUCCUAAGGUAGCGAAAUUCCUUGUCGGG